rnacentral:rRNA from 1 species
CAAUAGCGUAUAUUAAAGUUGUUGCAGUUAAAAAGCUCGUAGUUGGAUUUCUGGUGGGAGCGAUCGGUCUGGCGCUUAGCGCGAGUACUUGCAUCGUCUCCGGCCAUCCUUGGGGAGAGUCUGUCUGGCAUUAGGUUGUCGGGCAGAGGAUCUUCAUCGUUUACUGUGAAAAAAUUAGAGUGUUCAAAGCAGGCUUAUGCCGUUGAAUAUAUUAGCACGGAAUAAUAAGAUAGGACUUUGGUACUAUUUUGUUGGUUUGCGCACCAAAGUAAUGAUUAAUAGGGACAGUUGGGGGUAUUCGUAUUCCGUUGUCAGAGGUGAAAUUCUUGGAUUUACGGAAGACGAACUACUGCGAAAGCAUUUACCAAGGAUGUUUUCAUUAA